UACGUAGGGACCAAGCGUUGUUCGGAUUUACUGGGCGUAAAGGGCGCGUAGGCGGCAAUUCAAGUCAUCUGUGAAAUCUCCGGGCUUAACCCGGAACGGUCAGGUGAUACUGUUUUGCUAGAGUGCGGAAGGGGCAAUCGGAAUUCCCGGUGUAGCGGUGAAAUGCGUAGAUAUCGAGAGGAACACCAGAGGUGAAGACGGGUUGCUGGGCCGACACUGACGCUGACAGCGCGAAAGCCAGGGGAGCAAACGGG
rnacentral:rRNA from 1 species